rnacentral:rRNA from 1 species
GCAGCCAUGCCGCGUGUAUUGAAGAAGGCCUUCGGGUUGUAAAGUACUUUUCAGCAGUGAGGAAGGUGGAUAUGUUAAUAGCAUAUUCAUUUGACCGUUAGCUGCAGAAGAAGCACCGGCUAACUCCGUGCCAGCAGCCGCGGUAAUACGGAGGGUGCGAGCGUUAAUCGGAAUUACUGGGCGUAAAGCGCAUGCAGGUGGUUUGUUAAGUCAGAUGUGAAAAGCCCCGGGGCUCAACCUCGGAAUUGCAUUUGAAACUGGCAAACUAGAGUACUGUAGAGGGGGUAGAAUUUCAGGUGUAGCGGUGAAAUGCGUAGAGAUCUGAAGGAAUACCGGUGGCGAAGGCGGCCCCCUGGACAGAUACUGACACUCAGAUGCGAAAGCGUGGGGAGCAAACAGGAUUAGAUACCCUGGUAG